rnacentral:lncRNA from 1 species
GUGGAAGCCUGGUCUCCUCGCUUGGAGCGGGCGUUCUGCGCCAGAGAAGGCGAGGCUCGAGGCCGGCGGCGGAGCUCUCAGGACGGCAGGGAGGCCGGGUUGGCAGCAGCCGCUCUAUCUGCUACUGUACGGGGGCUUCAGAAAACAGAAAGCUGGCUCCAGGUCUCCGUGACAGGCUGGCACGAAUCCAGGGGUGAACCCAGGAGAGGACUGGCCAAAAACACCCCUAGCCUUACCAGGAAGUUCACUGUCUUCUUAUGCCCCUGAGAUCUCUCCUCCUCCCCAGAUUUUCUCAACUCCUUCAGAUGCUCUAGUUGCUUCUGAAUUUCCUCCUGGAGAAAAAGAGCACUUGUUGAAGCUUAAAGUUGGCUCCUGCCAUCUUUGGUUGGUGCCAACUCUAGAGGGGAAUAAAGCGGAGAGUGCUGCAGCUAAGAGCACCAGGAGAGAGGAAGAAUGAAUCCGUUACACCAAGGGAAGCAGAGCCAGGAAGUGGUGAGAAAGAUUUCUAAUGACCUGUUAGGCACAUCUGGAUUCAGCCAUACCUGAAGACCUCUGAGCUACAUGAACCAGUAAAUCUGUCUUUGGUUUGUACUGUUUGCCAUUUACAGCCCAAGAAGGCUGGCUAAUGCACCGACCUCCCAGGGUUGUUUGGAACAUGAAGCAAGCCCUGGUCUAUGCAAGUGCCCAGUGGCGAAGGACCCCAGUACAGGAAGCCCUACCUUGUAUUCCAGGGCGGCCUCCUCAAUGGGGCGCACCCGGUGGCCUCGGUGCUCCGGACUCAGCCCGCACAUGAGGCAGAUGGGUUCCCCAUGGUCCUCACAGAAGAGCAGCUGGACUUGCUGCUUGUGACGCUCACACUGCGGCAGGGACUUGGGGCUCAGGCUUCCCAUCUGCAGGCCCACCUGCUGCUCGUGGCUGCCACAGCUCUUCCCUGGGAACAUGUCCUGGCACCCAAGGCAGCUGGGUGAGUGGCCGCGGGAGGCCUCGGGAGCAACGGAGAAGCUGCAGGAAUUGUGCGCACAGCUGCCACCAACUGGAUCUGCUUGCUGGGUGCGGCAAAGGGGACACACAGCCUCAUUCUGCAGCCUCCCUGAGGACAUAGCAGCGGAAGAAUCUCCUGAGUGACAAACCUGGGAUGUUACCAAGGAGUGCUGCAGACGCAGCUUAGAGAACCUGGUUCUGGGCCUCGUACUUCCCCGUCAGACCGAGGCCUCUCCCUCAGUUGUCGCCCCGCUUCCCCCCACUGAGGCGGCAGAGGAGCCACGGGACUGAGGGCUCAUGGCUGGAUCUCACGCCAGUGCCGAGACUGGACUUCUUGGACGUUUACCCUAUCGAAAGGCCUUGUGCUGUAAAUCCUUUAUCUUCCUCCUGCACGUGCACUGAUCUAGCAGGUGAUAUAAAGACAGCAGGACACUCUGCUGUUUGCUGUGCUACUUAACAACCACCCAGACUGCUCACACUGAGUGCGCCCAGGGGAUGGUGAUACGUUCACAUCCAGACCCCCAACCCCUCGCAGAAUCCCUGCCUCGCGGUGAGCAUUUGGGAAGUGUGUGCGGAACGAAGGAGCAAAUGGGCCACUGCCCACGGCCAGGUUCAGGAAGCACGAGGUGAAAAUAACAAGGGAACUUUGCAAGCUGAAGGGUAGAGCCCACCAAGGGUAGAGCCAUGGUGACAUUCAGCUAUGACCAGCUCUGCCUAAGACCACAGCACAGCUUCGUAAAUUGGAGGAGAGGAAAUAGAAACUCACUCAACCCAUGAGUUGCUCCCACCUCCUCCUCUCGCAGAGUCCCGGGAAUUCAUAUCACAUCUUGACCUCUGGUCUAUGGACUGGCCCCUUUUUUUUGCCACUCUGCCUCAUAUGGAGUUCCCGCCCUGCAGCUUCGGCAACACUGGAUUCUUUUUUUUUUUUUUCCAUUAUAGUUGGUUUACGGUGUUGUGUCAGUUUUCUACUGUACAGCACAGUGGCCCAAUCGCACAUGUAUGCAUUCUUUUUCUCACAUCAUCCUCCACCAUGUUCCAUCAUGAGCGACUAGAUACAUUUCCUUGUGCUGUACAGCAGGAUCUCAUUGCUUAUCUCUCCAAAUGCAAUAGUUUGCAUCUAUUAACCCCAGACUCCCAGGCCCUCCCACUCCCUCCCCCUACCAGCACUGGAUUCUUUAACCCACUGUGCUGGCUGCGGAUUGAACCUGUGUCCUGGUCCUGCAGAGACAGCACUGAUCUCAUUGCACCACAGCAGGAACUCCUCAUAUCACAUCUUUAAGUGACCUCUUGAGGUCCCCAAUUACCAUUUCCCCUCCUCCCUUUAAAUAGAAUUGAUCGCUGUCCCUGUGGCUGCUUCCCCAACAAACCCCCCCCUCGGAAAAAAAAAAAAAA